GACGAACGCUGGCGGCGUGCUUAACACAUGCAAGUCGAACGGUAAGGCCCUUCGGGGUACACGAGUGGCGAACGGGUGAGUAACACGUGGGUGAUCUGCCCCGCACUUCGGGAUAAGCCUGGGAAACUGGGUCUAAUACCGGAUAGGACCCUGGGAUGCAUGUCCUGGGGUGGAAAGCUUUUGCGGUGUGGGAUGGGCCCGCGGCCUAUCAGCUUGUUGGUGGGGUGAUGGCCUACCAAGGCGACGACGGGUAGCCGGCCUGAGAGGGUGACCGGCAACAAUGGGACUGAGAUACGGCCCAGACUCCUACGGGAGGCAGCAGUGGGGAAUAUUGCGCAAUGGGCGCAAGCCUGAUGCAGCGACGCCGCGUGAGGGAUGACGGCCUUCGGGUUGUAAACCUCUGUCAGCACCGGCGAAGCGCAAGUGACGGUAGGUGCAGAAGAAGGACCGGCCAACUACGUGCCAGCAGCCGCAGUAA
rnacentral:rRNA from 1 species